CCUACGGGGGGCUGCAGUCGAGAAUCAUUCACAAUGGGGGAAACCCUGAUGGUGCGACGCCGCGUGGGGGAAUGAAGGUCUUCGGAUUGUAAACCCCUGUCAUGUGGGAGCAAAUUAAAAAGAUAGUACCACAAGAGGAAGAGACGGCUAACUCUGUGCCAGCAGCCGCGGUAAUACAGAGGUCUCAAGCGUUGUUCGGAAUCACUGGGCGUAAAGCGUGCGUAGGCUGUUUCGUAAGUCGUGUGUGAAAGGCGCGGGCUCAACCCGCGGACGGCACAUGAUACUGGGAGACUAGAGUAAUGGAGGGGGAGGCGGAAUGCUCGGGGUAGCGGUGAAAGGAGGAGAUAGCGAGAGGAACACUGGUGGCGAGGGCGGGUUCCUGGACAGUAACUGACGCUGAGGCACGAAGGCCAGGGGAGCGAAAGGGAUUAGAUACCCCAGGAGUC
rnacentral:rRNA from 1 species